rnacentral:rRNA from 1 species
UACCAGCACCCCGAGUGGUCGGGACGAUUAUUGGGCCUAAAGCAUCCGUAGCCGGUUCUACAAGUCUUCCGUUAAAUCCACCUGCUUAACAGAUGGGCUGCGGAGGAUACUCUGGAGCUAGGAGGCGGGAGAGGCAAGCGGUACUUAGUGGGUAGGGGUAAAAUCCGUUGAUCCAUUGAAGACCACCAGUGGCGAAGGCGGCUUGCCAGAACGCACUCGACGGUGAGGGAUGAAAGCUGGGGGAGCAAACCGG